rnacentral:rRNA from 1 species
AGUGAACGAGGGAGGAACGAGUAACACAUGCAAGUCGAGCGGAUGAAGGGAGCUUGCUCCUGGAUUCAGCGGCGGACGGGUGAGUAAUGCCUAGGAAUCUGCCUGGUAGUGGGGGAUAACGUCCGGAAACGGGCGCUAAUACCGCAUACGUCCUGAGGGAGAAAGUGGGGGAUCUUCGGACCUCACGCUAUCAGAUGAGCCUAGGUCGGAUUAGCUAGUUGGUGGGGUAAAGGCCUACCAAGGCGACGAUCCGUAACUGGUCUGAGAGGAUGAUCAGUCACACUGGAACUGAGACACGGUCCAGACUCCUACGGGAGGCAGCAGUGGGGAAUAUUGGACAAUGGGCGAAAGCCUGAUCCAGCCAUGCCGCGUGUGUGAAGAAGGUCUUCGGAUUGUAAAGCACUUUAAGUUGGGAGGAAGGGCAGUAAGUUAAUACCUUGCUGUUUUGACGUUACCAACAGAAUAAGCACCGGCUAACUUCGUG